UACGGAGGGCUCAAGCGUUGUUCGGAUUCAUUGGGCGUAAAGGGCGCGUAGGCGGCACGGCAAGUCGGGAGUGAAAGCCCGGGGCUCAACCCCGGAACUGCUCACGAAACUGGCGAGCUAGAGUGCGGAAGAGGCAAUCGGAAAUCCCAGUGUAGCGGUGAAAUGCGUAGAUAUUGGGAAGAACACCGGAGGCGAAGGCGGAUUGCUGGGCCGACACUGACGCUGAGGCGCGAAAGCGUGGGGAGCGAACAGG
rnacentral:rRNA from 1 species